UACGAAGGGGGCUAGCGUUGCUCGGAAUUACUGGGCGUAAAGCGCACGUAGGCGGCUCUUUAAGUCGGGGGUGAAAUCCUGGAGCUCAACUCCAGAACUGCCUUCGAUACUGUAGAGCUUGAGUUCGGGAGAGGUGAGUGGAACUGCGAGUGUAGAGGUGAAAUUCGUAGAUAUUCGGAAGAACACCAGUGGCGAAGGCGGCUGACUGGACUGGUAUUGACGCUGAGGUGCGAAAGCGUGGGGAGCAAACAGG
rnacentral:rRNA from 1 species